UUGUCCCCUGCCCUUGAUUCAAGCAUCCCUAACAAGUCAGCCUUUGACAUUUCAGGGUAAUAGAUGGGUUUAAUUAAUGCUUAAUCAAACCACUCACCCAUUCCACUAAUAAGCACCUCUGUCUUCCUCAGUCCUUGCAAUAGGAUUGUGGUUUCAGAGGCACUACCAUCAGCAACAGGUGAGUGCUUUUGUUUUUCCAACUAGGAAGUAUUCGUGUGUCUAUCUGAACAGAAAAUACUUUAAUCUUAAGAGUUACUGAACAGAAGCAGGACUUAGGUGUAACACAACCCAUCUGUCUUCCCUGAGAUCCUUUGCAUUGUCUCCUGCAUGAGGAAGAAACAACACAGGCACUAGAAAUGCCAGAUUCUCUUCACUGAUUCUAGACAGCUCCAGUGGUGAAGUCUCUACUGUAGCAUCUAAUAUUAAGCUAACUGCACUCAUACAACUUGAGUCCUGCUGUGCAAGAAAGAUAACAACACAUCCCAUCCCCUUAGCAAGACUGCUCUCUGCUAAAGCCUGUCCAGCCUUGUAAGUCUGCACCAUGAACACAGUAUGCUACAGCCUUGUUUCAUGUUCUCCAGGUUGCAACACUCAAAAGCAGCAUAAACAAGUCCUAAGAAGACAGCUGUCAGACACUGAGGAGUACGAGAUGUUUUGUCAUCCCAGCCUACACUCUUACUACUUUUUUCCAUGGGAGAGACACAAUUGCAAGCAAAAGAACCUGCCAGACUGUAGAAACAUUCUUUUCCCUUCUCCUGACCUUACAAGGCAAAACAAAGUCUCCAGCAGCUCCCCUGUGCUGCUGAACAUGAAGAAAACCGUUCUGUUGGCCAGUCUGCCUGUCCUUUGCAAUGUGUGAGGAAAGCCUUGCUCUCCAUCCUGAGCAGAGCUGAUAUGCAGAAAGAUAAAAAGCCUUUUCUUCUCAU